AUACGGAGGGUCCGAGCGUUAAUCGGAAUUACUGGGCGUAAAGCGCGCGUAGGUGGUUCAGUCAGUCAGAUGUGAAAGCCCCGGGCUCAACCUGGGAACUGCACCUGAUACUGCUGAGCUAGAGUACGGUAGAGGGCAGUGGAAUUUCCGGUGUAGCGGUGAAAUGCGUAGAGAUCGGAAGGAAAACCAGAGGCGAAGGCGACUGCCUGGACUGAUACUGACACUGAGGUGCGAAAGCGUGGGUAGCAAACAGGAUUAGAUCCCCUGGUAGUCCACGCCGUAAACGAUGUCAACUAGCCGUUGGGGGACUUGAUCCUUUAGUGGCGAAGCUAACGCGAUAAGUUGACCGCCUGGGGAGUACGGCCGCAAGGUUAAAACUCAAAGGAAUUGACGGGG
rnacentral:rRNA from 1 species